ACAGGGUCUCCAUAUGUAGUUCAGACUGGCCUUGAACUCACUUCAUAGUCCAGACUUGCCUGGAACUCAUGGCAAUCCUGUUGUUUCAGGCUCCUGAAUGCUGGGAUUACAGAGUAAACAGAAGAAAGAAACCUGGAAUCUCAGACACAAGAAGAGCCAGAGAGGUAAACAGAAUAUGAAGAGAAUUUGAGGAAACAAUGCUCUAAUCACUGUUGAACUGUCUGCACUUUGGGGUGCAGUCCUAAAGGACCACUGUAGGAGAUGGAAAGAAGUGUGUCAGAAAGAAAAGGAAGUGGCCAGAGCUGGUAGAGGAGAAUGAAAGACGAAGAACAGAACCAAAGAACCAGAAAAGAAUGAGAUGAGAGAGAAGGAAUAGAAGGCAUAUGAGAUAUGCUAUCUGAACACCUCCAGCAUAUAAAAUUGGGACAUCCCCCUGACCACAUCUCAAAGCUUUUUCUUCUCUAUAUAUUUGGAAGAAGGAAGAAUUUAUAGCACACCCACUUCUGGGCCACUCUGCGCUGAAGACUUUUCAAUUACUGUCCAGUUUCCAUACUUAUUUUCACAUAUGCAUUAGGUGUCUUUCCUGUGGGACCAGUAUCUGGAGCUUUGAUACUGCCACCCCCCCACUGAUCCUGUGUCACUAUGCUGACCUCCAUGAUGAUUCAGAGAAUGUCAUUUUCUUUUAAAGUCCCAUCUUAAUUCUCCAGAGAACCACUAAGAAAAUUGUAAAGAUAUGGAAAAACAAGGAAUAACAUGACUAUGAGUAUCUCUUCUCCUGCAACUCAGAAUUCAUGGUGAUCAAGUUCCUACUAAAACAAUAG
ensembl:lncRNA